UACGAAGGGAGCUAGCGUUGUUCGGAUUCAUUGGGCGUAAAGGGUGUGUAGGUGGCGCGCUAAGUCGGGUGUGAAAUUUCGGAGCUUAACUCCGAAACUGCAUUUGAUACUGGCGUGCUUGAGGACUGGAGAGGAGACUGGAAUUCAUGGUGUAGCGGUGAAAUGCGCAGAUAUCGGGAGGGACACCAAUGGCGAAGGCAGCUCGCUGGGACGGUACUGACGCUGAUGCGCGAAGGCCAGGGGAGCAAACGGG
rnacentral:rRNA from 1 species